AUGAACGCUGGCGGCGUGCUUAACACCUGCAAGUCGAACGGGAAACCUUUUAUUGAAGCUUCGGCAGAUUUAGCUGGUUUCUAGUGGCGGACGGGUGAGUAACGCGUGGGUAACCUGCCUUAUACAGGGGGAUAACAACCAGAAAUGGUUGCUAAUACCGCAUAAGCGCACAGGACCGCAUGGUCCGGUGUGAAAAACUCCGGUGGUAUAAGAUGGACCCGCGUUGGAUUAGCUAGUUGGCAGGGUAACGGCCUACCAAGGCGACGAUCCAUAGCCGGCCUGAGAGGGUGAACGGCCACAUUGGGACUGAGACACGGCCCAGACUCCUACGGGAGGCAGCAGUGGGGAAUAUUGCACAAUGGGGGAAACCCUGAUGCAGCGACGCCGCGUGAAGGAAGAAGUAUCUCGGUAUGUAAACUUCUAUCAGCAGGGAAGAUAGUGACGGUACCUGACUAAGAAGCCCCGGCUAACUACGUG
rnacentral:rRNA from 1 species